rnacentral:rRNA from 1 species
CCUAAGCCGAGGCCGAGAGGCGUAGGUGAUGGACAAUCGGGUGAAAUUCCGAUACCACCUAUUGACGUUUGAGAAAUGGGGUGACGCAGUAGGAUAAGAUGUGCGCACGAUUGGAUGUGCGUCUAAGCAUUUAGGCAUGCUUGAUAGGCAAAUCCGUCAAGCUAAGCUGAGAUGCUAGGGGGAGCGAAUUAUGGCGAAAUAUCUGAUUCCAUACUGCCAAGAAAAGCCUCUAUCGAGAGGAU